AGGGCCAUAUCAUGUUGGAACACAGUUUCCUAUACGAUCACUGAAGUUAAGCAACGUCGAGUCUGGUUAGUACCUAGAUGGCUGACCGCUUGGGAAUCCCAGGCGCUGUAA